UACGGGGGGGGCAAGCGUUGUUCGGAAUUACUGGGCGUAAAGGGCUCGUAGGCGGCCAACUAAGUCAGACGUGAAAUCCCUCGGCUUAACCGGGGAACUGCGUCUGAUACUGGUUGGCUUGAGUGCAGGAGAGGAAUGCGGAAUUCCAGGUGUAGCGGUGAAAUGCGUAGAUAUCUGGAGGAACACCGGUGGCGAAGGCGGCUCACUGGCCCGGUACUGACGCUGAGGCGCGAAAGCGUGGGGAGCAAACAGG
rnacentral:rRNA from 1 species